AGGUGCUGCCUGCAGUGGGGCUGAUGGAACUGCCUAUCUCUCCAGGCCAGGGAGCAUUAAUUGAGAGUCAGCCUUGCAAAGCCUCUGCUGUGGAAAGAAGCCAGACUGGCAGGUGAAAGAGGAGAAAGUAUUGGUGAGCACACUAAGCAGGGCUCAGCAGACACCCUCGAUGUGGUGGACUUCAGGCUCAGGGCUCUCCUCUCCAACCAGGCAAAAACUGGAAAUAACCCAAAUGGCCAUAACAGGAACACGGAUGAACAAACAGUGGUGUAGUGACACAACAGAACCCCUCAGCGAUGAACAGGAACCACAGUGACGAGGGUGAAGCAGUAUCCGUAUCCGCACACGGGCGCCGCCUGCAGCCACUACGCUGGGGUUGAAAUCACAACCGAAUAAAAGGUUUGGAUGGAUGACGCUGGCUGAGUGAACUUCUGUAUGUGACAUCAUUGGCGCAAGAUGGAUGUGCCCUGCAGACCCACUCCCACCGGUCUCAGAAAAAUGAGAAACGUGAGGAGCACAUCCAGACUGAAUGGAAUAGACGUCUGGUGGUGGUGAGCCGAACAAAACGUGUCCGGAUGCGCCAGAAUCAAGUCUGUGCUGAGAGCAGGUGUGGGCCUUGCCUCUGGCGAGUGUCAGAGCAGCUGAGAUGGCUUUCUGGAGCAGGUGGCCUUGCAAAUUGCCAAAGACCAGGAUGCCUGGGCACUGCCAGCUGAGUGUGAGGAGGGCUGGCAGCCGCCUUUGAGGGGACAGUCUGCUCAGUGUUAGAUUCCAAGCUGUCCUCUGCACUAACGUUUUCCUCCAAUUUACCCUCCUG